rnacentral:rRNA from 1 species
GAUGAACGCUGGCGGCGUGCCUAAUACAUGCAAGUCGAGCGAACAGAUAAGGAGCUUGCUCCUUUGACGUUAGCGGCGGACGGGUGAGUAACACGUGGGUAACCUACCUAUAAGACUGGAAUAACUCCGGGAAACCGGGGCUAAUGCCGGAUAACAUUUAGAACCGCAUGGUUCUAAAGUGAAAGAUGGUUUUGCUAUCACUUAUAGAUGGACCCGCACCGUAUUAGCUAGUUGGUAAGGUAUCGGCUUACCAAGGCAACGAUACGUAGCCGACCUGAGAGGGUGAUCGGCCACACUGGAACUGAGACACGGUCCAGACUCCUACGGGAGGCAGCAGUAGGGAAUCUUCCGCAAUGGGCGAAAGCCUGACGGAGCAACGCCGCGUGAGUGAUGAAGGUCUUCGGAUCGUAAAACUCUGUUAUUAGGGAAGAACAAAUGUGUAAGUAACUGUGCACGUCUUGACGGUACCUAAUCAGAAAGCCACGGCUAACUACGU